ACGCUUGCCAUAAAUUUUCCAAUUUUUCUAAUUGUGCCCCUCAAUUGGGGAGCCACUGGUUUAGGCACCGAGGGUGUUUUCGUCUAUUCGCCUCAUGUGAAGAACGUGGGCUAGAUCAAGCCACGUCUCUGCUUUUGCCUUUUUCUUUCCUUCGUCUGGUUUGGGACAGAUAGCAGAGAGAUUGAGAGAGAGUGAGAGAGAGGAGAACGAGAGAAGAAGAAGCCUAGGCAACGGACGGUGACGUGUGUGGAUGGUUCCCGGUCGUUGAUCGGUGGUAGUUGUUGCUGUCAGAAGAAACGAGUGUGGGGAUCUAAACCUGUGGAGUCGUAUAUCCUUAAUAGCUAUCUUCUGCGGUGCUGCUUCCUCUCUCUCCGAGUUCUCUGUUUGCAUGUGUCCGGGUUCUCUCCCUGUUUGCUGAGCGACGACAAUUACAAGUGACCGUCAAUGCACAGUAGCCAUUGCAUAUGAAGUAGCAAAAUAAAAGGGCAGAUAGGCGUUUCCUUUUAAAUGAAUGAUGGAUUAUUUUUAUAUUACUCUUUCCCAUUUUUUUAGAACAGAUUAGUGGAAAUUCAAAUGAAUAUUCCCCCUUAUUCAACAAUCAACUAACCUUUAGUUAUUCUUCUUUGUUUGUAAGCUCAGAGCUAAUUUAAAUAUAAUUACGUACUUGUUCAAAAGCACAAGCACUUAUGUGCCAUCAACGUUACCUUCGGGAAAGGAAUUAAGGUACUAAGUAUAGUCUAGACAGAGCUAAUCUAGAUGCCAAAAAGUUACCAAAUGACAAGUGCAAAGUUUUUUUUGCAAGAACCCUUAACAGAGGGUUUUUAUGCCAUCCAUUCAUUUGGUGUCAACUUUGUUGUGACUUGCCUAUUUCCUCAAUUCUUGUGUCUUUCAUAGCUUGAGUUUAUAUUAUUUUUGUUACUUAAAUAUUUUGGGCUCUUUCGUAAUUUUUGUUGUGUUUGUCAUAACUGUGACAGAAUGGUGGUCCAUGCGCCGUUUGUCCGUUGAGAUUUAGAACGGGAUGCUUCUUCCAAAAAACCCAAGAGCAGGCAUUUAUUUUCUCGAAACAACUCAGGGUCAAAGGGUACAUUGUGUUGUUAUUUCUGGGGAAGGAAACCACAUGACUUAUAAACCUUUUGAUGGUUUCCUCCAAUGUUUUAAAAACUGGCCCGGACUGGCCUGUCGAACCGGUUGGCCCGCCAACCGGCCCAUUGUCCGGUUUGGGUUGACCACAAAACCGCUACUAUUAGAGAACCGAUCUAUUUUAGGAGAACCGUCUCAAAUUUCCAGUUCAACCGGUGAACCGGCGGAACCGUUCCCGUUUUGAAGACCCAGCCCGUUCAAAUUUUAAACUAUAGCCCGCGUUGAACAAGACAGCUGUUUUGAACUCGAGGGCAGCGCUCGGUAUUUAUAACAAAACAGAAGGCUUCUGCUUGGGUUUGCAACCGAUGGGGGAUUGGGAAUUCAACAUUUGUGCCUGUUCUUCACUUUCUCUCACUUUUCCAACUAGACCAUGAUGCUAUACAUGGUAUUCCUUAAGGAAAAGAGAUUGACCUCAACAAUAUUACACAUAUAUAUUUGCAAAAA